ensembl:snRNA U6 U6 spliceosomal RNA
UUGUUCACUUUGACAGCACAUAUACUAAAAUUUGAAUGAUACAGAGAAGAUUAGCAUGGCUCCUGCACAAAGACAAGAUACAAAUUUGUGAAGAUUUUCAUACUAAA